GACGGGGAGCACUACAACGGGUGGAGCCUGCGGUUUAAUUGGAUUCAACGCCGGAAAUCUCACCGGGGCGACAGCAAUAUGAAGGUCAGGCUGAAGACCUUACCCGAUUAGCUGAGAGGUGGUGCAUGGCCGUCGUCAGUUCGUACUGUGAAGCAUCCUGUUAAGUCAGGCAACGAGCGAGACCCACGUCCACAGUUGCCAGCAUACCCUCCGGGGUGAUGGGUACACUGUGGAGACCGCCGCUGCUAAAGCGGAGGAAGGAGUGGGCAACGGUAGGUCAGUAUGCCCCGAAUCUCCCGGGCUACACGCGGGCUACAAUGGUUGGUACAAUGGGCAUCUACCCCGAAAGGGGAAGGAAAUCUCUUAAAGCCAAUCGUAGUUCGGAUUGAGGGCUGCAGCUCGCCCUCAUGAAGCUGGAAUCCGUAGUAAUCGCGUUUCAACAGAACGCGGUGAAUACGUCCCUGCUCCUU
rnacentral:rRNA from 1 species